GUGGAUGUAGCUCAGUCGGUAAGAGCACCAGGUUGUGGCCCUGGGGGUCGAGGGUUCGAGUCCCUUCAUCCACC
rnacentral:tRNA from 1 species